rnacentral:lncRNA from 1 species
UACCUCGUCGUCACUUGAGUCGAAUUGUUUCUUAACGGUUGAUGAGUCUUCAAUAAGGAUGACAGUAUGUGAUAUUUCUCUCUUGACGUCGUAAAGGCCAAACAAGUUGCACAUUUGUAAGAAUUUUGGCUCGCCGUUAUGGUAAUAUGCUUGGAAGAAUGCAUUUUCCUAUGACAAAAUCAAAUAAAUGAAUGAAUUAUAUACCACAAGACAUUAUCGCAUGAACAUCGAGAAUUAUACAAACCUUAAACAGCCUUUCCCACACUUCGUCAUCGGCG